UGACUGAUUGAUGGAAUUAUUCUACUUUUAUAUAGAAUAUGGACGGCACUCCAGUACAGCAUGUGCAUGGUUGUACCAGUUGACAUUUUUAGAAACGCAUCUCGGUCACAGAAUGCUUUUUCCCUAAAAUGAACACUGGGGUAAUAGAUAUGGUCUAUUAUACAGAGUAUUGUUGUACUGCUGAGAGAGCUCCAAUGUGCUUGUUGACAGACUGAAACCACUUGCUUGCAGUUCAUAAGGCUUACUUCUUGAGAGCAGGCAGCUACAAAAUGGAAGGUCAACAAAACCAGUAUACUUGAAAAGUAAAAAAGAAACACCAGGAAAUAUGAAAAGGUAGAAGAACAAGGGAACUUGAAUAAAAAAAAACUUUUAAAGAUAGGAAUUCAGGAUAUACUUGGAAACUAAAUUUAUUUUGAGAACAGCAGUGAUUGACUAAGUUCUGUUACUUUAAGAGAUAAAGUACUAUUAUCACAUUGGUAUUGUUAUGCUCAUAAAACAUACUAAAGUUUCAUUCAUCUUAUUUUAGAUAAUUGCUUUCUGGUUUAUUUUACAAAGGUUGUCUACUAAUUAACAUAGUUAUAUUUAAGUAAUACUUUCCAUGAAAUUUUAAAGAGAAUGUUUUGUUAUACCCCCACAAAACAAAGUUAAAGGGGUAGUAAGUUUGUCUGUCUUUCAGUCCCUUGG